rnacentral:rRNA from 1 species
AUUGAACGCUGGCGGCAGGCCUAACACAUGCAAGUCGAACGGUAACAGGAAGGAGCUUGCUUCUUUGCUGACGAGUGGCGGACGGGUGAGUAAUGUCUGGGAAACUGCCCGAUGGAGGGGGAUAACUACUGGAAACGGUAGCUAAUACCGCAUAACGUCGCAAGACCAAAGAGGGGGACCUUCGGGCCUCUUGCCAUCGGAUGUGCCCAGAUGGGAUUAGCUAGUAGGUGGGGUAACGGCUCACCUAGGCGACGAUCCCUAGCUGGUCUGAGAGGAUGACCAGCCACACUGGAACUGAGACACGGUCCAGACUCCUACGGGAGGCAGCAGUGGGGAAUAUUGCACAAUGGGCGCAAGCCUGAUGCAGCCAUGCCGCGUGUAUGAAGAAGGCCUUCGGGUUGUAAAGUACUUUCAGCGGGGAGGAAGGGAGUAAAGUUAAUACCUUUGCUCAUUGACGUUACCCGCAGAAGAAGCACCGGCUAACUCCGUG